CUAAGUUCAGCGGGUAAUCCUACCUGAUUUGAGGUCAAACUUUCAAUAAGUUGUCCACAAGGGACUGUUAUAAGCUGAACAGACAGAGAGCAGUCCAUAGUCUUAGGCGUAGAUAAUUAUCACACCAGUGACGGAUCGCAAACCGUUCCGCUAAUACAUUUCAGAGGAGCUGAUCUUUGUUAAAAGACCUGCAUAUCCCC
rnacentral:misc_RNA from 1 species